GAUGAAGAACGUAGCGAAAUGCGAUAAGUAAUGCGAAUUGCAGAAUUUCCGUGAGUCAUCGAAUCUUUGAACGCACAUUGCGCCCACUGGUAUUCCGGUGGGCAUGCCUGUUCGAGCGUCAUUAUCCUCCCUCAAACCCCGGGUUUGGUGUUGGACCCAAGUUGUGUGAACAACUGGUCUCAAAGACAAUGACGGCGUCCGUGGGACCCUCGGUGCAACGAGCUUUUAGGAGCACGCAUCGAGUUGCAAGGACCUUCCGGGCCGGUCUCCUUUACCAUUUUACAAGGUUGACCUCGGAUCAGGCAGGAAUACCCGCUGAACUUAAGCAUAUCAAUAAGCGGAGGA
rnacentral:misc_RNA from 1 species